AGUGAACGCUGGCGGCAUGCCUUACACAUGCAAGUCGAACGGCAGCACGGGUGCUUGCAGCUGGUGGCGAGUGGCGAACGGGUGAGUAAUACAUCGGAACAUGUCCUGUAGUGGGGGAGAGCCCGGCGAAAGCCGGAUUAAUACCGCAUACGAACUACGGAUGAGAGCGGGGGACCGUCAGGCCUCGCGCUAGAGGGUUGGCCUAUGCCGGAGUAGCUAGUUGGAGGGGUAAAGGCCUACCAAGGCGACGAUCAGUAGCUGGUCUGAGAGGACGACCAGCCACACUGGGACUGAGACACGGCCCAGACUCCUACGGGAGGCAGCAGUGGGGAAUUUUGGACAAUGGGCGAAAGCCUGAUCCAGCAAUGCCGCGUGUGUGAAGAAGGCCUUCGGGUUGUAAAGCACUUUUGUCCGGAAAGAAAUCCUUGGCCCUAAUACGGUCGGGUGAUGACGGUACCGGAAGAAUAAGCACCGGCUAACUACGUG
rnacentral:rRNA from 1 species